rnacentral:sRNA from 1 species
GUAACAAAUCCAAAUGCAGCAGGUCCAGCUCUCCCGGAGCAUCUCGCCGUUGGUUAUAUGCCUGAAACUCAAGUACAAUGUGUUGAAAUUCAAUGGGUUCGAGCAAAAAAUCCCUCGGCUCCUCCAGGCCAUUAUUAUUGGAAUUUAUUCGAUAAUUCGACACGUUGGACAGCUCCGGCUCAUUUUUAUACGGAGCAACAGUAUGAGCAAAAAUGUGCAGAAUUUGAAGAGCAGAGAACGAAAAAUUAUUAUGGAAUGGAUGAAGUUCAG